rnacentral:tRNA from 1 species
UGGAGUGUAGCUCAGUGGUAAAGCACAUGCUUAGCAUGCAUGAAGACCUGGCUCAAUUCUUAGCACCAA